rnacentral:rRNA from 1 species
AACUACUUUACUAGAGUUAUAGAGAAUAGUGUAAUUUCACAUGGAGAGAUGGAAUUCGAAGAGAUGUGAAGGAACCUCAACGGCGAAGGCAACUAUUUGGGUUAUAAACUGACGCUGAGGAACGAAAGCAUGGGGAGCAAACAGGAUUAGAUACCCUGGUAGUCCAUGCCGUAAACGAUGAGUGCUCGGAUUCAGAAACAAUUUGGGUCCUUAGUUAACACGUUAAGCACUCCGCCUGAGGAGUAUAAUCGCAAGGUUGGAACUCAAAGGAAUUGACGGGGGCCGAUACAAGUGGUGGAGCAUGUGGUUUAAUGCGAUAAUACGCGCGAAACCUUACCAGCUCUUGACAUAUAAUGAUAAAAUUAGAAAUAAUUUANNNNNNNCUUUUGAAAAAACAUUUAUACAGGUGUUGCAUGGCUGUCGUCAGCUCGUGUCGUGAGAUGUUUGGUUAAGUUCUCUAACGAGCGCAACCCUUAUCUUUAGUUGCUAUUUAAUUUUAAAAUUAAAAGUACUUUAAAGAAACUGCCGAUGAUAAAUUGGAGGAAGGUGAGGAUGACGUCAAGUCUUCAUGGCCCUUAUGAGCUGGGCUACACACGUGCUACAAUGGUAACUACAAUAAGUAGCAAUAAUGCAAAUUGGAGCAAAUCUUAAAAAGUUAUCUCAGUUCGGAUUGUGGGCUGCAACUCGCCCACAUGAAGUUGGAAUCACUAGUAAUCGCAAAUCAGAACGUUGCGGUGAAU